GCCACUGUGGCUCAGUGGUUGAGCAUCAACCUAUGAAUCUGGAGGUCACGGUUCGAUUCCAUGUCAGGGCA
rfam:Myotis brandtii contig159361, whole genome shotgun sequence.